GACAAGUUGACAAGAGCAUCGGGUGGAUGCCUUGGCGUCGGAAGGCGAUGAAAGACGUGGUAAGCUGCGAAAAGCCUCGGGGAGAAGCUAAACAUUCUGUGAUCCGGGGAUUUCUGAAUGGGGAAACCCGGCGGAGGUCAUGCUCCGUCGCGGGCACUUGAAUACAUAAAGUGUCCAGCGCCAACUCAGGGAAGUGAAACAUCUCAGUACCUGAAGGAAAAGAAAUCAAACGAGACUCCCAAAGUAGCGGCGAGCGAAAUGGGAUGAGCCCAAACCGGCUGGAUUCGUUCAGCCGGGGUUGUAGGGCCGGCAUAUGUGAUUCAUGAGUAGGCAGGGGAAAUGAGCUGGAAAGCUCUGCCAGAGCGGGUGACAGCCCCGUACCUGAAACCGAAAGCGACACAGCCGGUACCUGAGUACCGCGAGACACGUGGAACCUCGUGGGAAUCCGGGAGGACCAUCUUCCAAGGCUAAGUACUAACCGACGACCGAUAGUGUACCAGUACCGUGAGGGAAAGGUGAAAAGAACCUCUGUUAGAGGAGUGAAAUAGAAUCUGAAACCUGGUGCUUACAAGCUGUGAGAGCGGACUUGUUCCGUGAUCACGUGCCUUUUGCAUAAUGAGUCAGCGAGUUAAUCUGUACUGC
rnacentral:rRNA from 1 species